rnacentral:tRNA from 1 species
GCGGGUAUAGUUUAGUGGCAGAACGCAUCCUUGCCAUGGAUGAGACGGGGGUUCGAUUCCCCCUACCCGCA